rnacentral:rRNA from 2 species
UGCAGUCGAGCGGACGGAUGGGAGCUUGCUCCCUGAAGUCAGCGGCGGACGGGUGAGUAACACGUGGGCAACCUGCCUGUAAGACUGGGAUAACUCCGGGAAACCGGGGCUAAUACCGGAUAACUCUUUUCCUCACAUGAGGAAAAGCUGAAAGAUGGUUUCGGCUAUCACUUACAGAUGGGCCCGCGGCGCAUUAGCUAGUUGGUGAGGUAACGGCUCACCAAGGCCACGAUGCGUAGCCGACCUGAGAGGGUGAUCGGCCACACUGGGACUGAGACACGGCCCAGACUCCUACGGGAGGCAGCAGUAGGGAAUCUUCCGCAAUGGACGAAAGUCUGACGGAGCAACGCCGCGUGAGUGAUGAAGGUUUUCGGAUCGUAAAACUCUGUUGUCAGGGAAGAACAAGUACCGGAGUAACUGCCGGUACCUUGACGGUACCUGACCAGAAAGCCACGGCUAACUACGUGCCAGCAGCCGCGGUAAUACGUAGGUGGCAAGCGUUGUCCGGAAUUAUUGGGCGUAAAGCGCGCGCAGGCGGUUCCUUAAGUCUGAUGUGAAAGCCCCCGGCUCAACCGGGGAGGGUCAUUGGAAACUGGGGAACUUGAGUGCAGAAGAGAAGAGUGGAAUUCCACGUGUAGCGGUGAAAUGCGUAGAGAUGUGGAGGAACACCAGUGGCGAAGGCGACUCUUUGGUCUGUAACUGACGCUGAGGCGCGAAAGC